UUCGCCCUUAGAAUUUGAUCCUGGCUCAGGACGAACGCUGGCGGCACGCUUAACACAUGCAAGUCGAACGAGAGAAGAGAAGCUUGCUUUUCUGAUCUAGUGGCGGACGGGUGAGUAACACGUGAGCAAUCUGCCUUUCAGAGGGGGAUACCGAUUGGAAACGAUCGUUAAUACCGCAUAAUAUAAUUGAACCGCAUGAUUUGAUUAUCAAAGAUUUAUCGCUGAAAGAUGAGCUCGCGUCUGAUUAGCUAGUUGGUAAGGUAACGGCUUACCAAGGCGACGAUCAGUAGCCGGACUGAGAGGUUGAUCGGCCACAUUGGGACUGAGACACGGCCCAGACUCCUACGGGAGGCAGCAGUGGGGAAUAUUGCACAAUGGAGGAAACUCUGAUGCAGCGAUGCCGCGUGAGGGAAGAAGGUUUUAGGAUUGUAAACCUCUGUCUUCAGGGACGAAAAAAGACGGUACCUGAGGAGGAAGCUCCGGCUAACUACGUGCCAGCAGCCGCGGUAAUACGUAGGGAGCGAGCGUUGUCCGGAAUUACUGGGUGUAAAGGGAGCGUAGGCGGGAUCGCAAGUCAGAUGUGAAAACUAUGGGCUUAACCCAUAAACUGCAUUUGAAACUGUGGUUCUUGAGUGAAGUAGAGGUAAGCGGAAUUCCUAGUGUAGUGGUGAAAUGCGUAGAUAUUAGGAGGAACAUCAGUGGCGAAGGCGGCUUACUGGGCUUUAACUGACGCUGAGGCUCGAAAGCGUGGGGAGCAAACAGGAUUAGAUACCCUGGUAGUCCACGCCGUAAACGAUGAUUACUAGGUGUGGGGGGACUGACCCCUUCCGUGCCGCAGCAAACGCAAUAAGUAAUCCACCUGGGGAGUACGACCGCAAGGUUGAAACUCAAAGGAAUUGACGGGGGCCCGCACAAGCAGUGGAGUAUGUGGAUUAAUUCGAAGCAACGCGAAGAACCUUACCAGGUCUUGACAUCGUAUGCAUAGCUCAGAGAUGAGUGAAAUCUCUUCGGAGACAUAUAGACAGGUGGUGCAUGGUUGUCGUCAGCUCGUGUCGUGAGAUGUUGGGUUAAGUCCCGCAACGAGCGCAACCCUUACUGUUAGUUGCUACGCAAGAGCACUCUAGCAGGACUGCCGUUGACAAAACGGAGGAAGGUGGGGAUGACGUCAAAUCAUCAUGCCCCUUAUGACCUGGGCCUCACACGUACUACAAUGGCUGUUAACAGAGGGAUGCAAAGCCGCGAGGUGGAGCGAACCCCUAAAAGCAGUCUUAGUUCGGAUUGUAGGCUGCAACCCGCCUACAUGAAGUCGGAAUUGCUAGUAAUCGCAGAUCAGCAUGCUGCGGUGAAUACGUUCCCGGGCCUUGCACUCACCGCCCGUCA
rnacentral:rRNA from 1 species